rnacentral:rRNA from 1 species
UGGGGAAUUUUUGACAAUGGGCGAAAGCCUGAUCGAGCAAUGCCGCGUGAGUGAUGAAGGCCUUAGGGUUGUAAAGCUCUUUUAGUAGGGAAGAUUAUGACGGUACCUACAGAAAAAGUCCCGGCUAACUUCGUGCCAGCAGCCGCGGUAAUACGAAGGGGGCUAGCGUUACUCGGAAUUACUGGGCGUAAAGCGUGCGUAGGCUGUUUUGUAAGUUGGUAGUUAAAUUCUCGAGCUCAACUCGAGGCCUGCUAGCAAGACUGCAAGACUAGAGUACUGGAGAAGAUAGUGGAAUUCCUAGUGUAGAGGUGAAAUUCAUAGAUAUUAGGAGGAACACCAGAGGCGAAAGCGACUAUCUGGCCAGAAACUGACGCUGUUGCACGAAAGCGUGGGGAGCAAACAGG